rnacentral:tRNA from 1 species
GCCAGUGUAGCUCAGUGGUAGAGCAAUGGUUUCGUAAACCAUAGGUCGUGGGUUCGACUCCCACCGCUGGCU